AAUGUGUGUUGUUUUAAAAUGACUCCUUAAUAUGAAGAGUACAUCUGAUACUCUCCGAAAGUUAAACAAGCCAUUCAGGAAAAUGGGAUUGAGUUAUGACAAGCUGAACAGAAGCCCUGAAAGGUCGUGGGCUCAUUUCUUCAUUUAUGAGAAUGAAGGCAGGACAUGUGGGCCUGGAUGCUGGAUGUCAACCCGAGAUUCUUCCUUGCCACUCAUAACCAGACGUGAAGCUGCAAGCGACCUGGAGCACACGGCCCAUUCCCUAGCAACUCAGGGCAGGGCUCAGGGCACCUUCCAGGCCUGGCAAGGUGAGGGGACAAAGCCACGGUUCUGUGCAGUGAAAUGCUAAUUUUAUGUCCAGAAGGAGGGCCUGGGUCUCCAGGCUUCCAGGCUCCCACCCUUUCUAGCUUGGUGUAUAGCAUCAUUGGAGCCACUGCAUUGAGGGCACAAAGUCCUCAUGGCUUCAAUUUCAUUGUCGGAAAGCUAGGAUUAACACUGAAUUGGUAAUGGGAGGAAAACUAGCGUUACAUCAGGAAAGAGGGCAAUUUUCUACUCCUUGGCACCUCGAAGAGGCCUCCAGCGAUGCGAUAGCUGGCAGCCUUUGAAAAAAAUCCUUUGCAGCUCUUGGCAUGAGAAUUUGUCUGGCCUGGAGGAAGUCAUUUGAUCCUGGGGCUGGGGGCUGUGAAGCAAUUGUGAAAGUCGCUUCUGAAGUCCUGUAGGCACCAGAUCUGUUUUCUAGCUUAUAAAUCAGAUACAAGCAAACUCUGGGACUUGUUCUCUCGUGGUGAGAGCUGCCACUGAAAUCGCAGGGGAGCUGGGGGGCUAAGGAUGCACAGGACUGCUAUUUGUUUAGGAGGGCAGUCCUCUCACAGGGCCUGUGUCUGGGGCUGCAUUGUUGCCCGUCUACACCCGGGCUCCAUGCCAGUGCCCAUGUUGAGAGGCAGCAGGCCAGGCCGGAGUCUCCAUGCUGCUCCCUGCAGCCCUUUGAGGUUUAGCUGCAGUUGUCACGGCAAUAUUUCUUCAGGCCACUCUGCUUGGGCACCCUGGCUUUCCAGAGAACAGCUACUUGAGUCCCUUUUGUUCAGUCCCUCGCAGGCAGGGCCUGCCCAACCCAACCUGGUCCAGUCCAGCUGUGUCCAGGCCAGCUCAGGAUCCAGGGGUCACCAUUUAAGGGCUCAUGAGAUUGCGAAGUGAUUCUACUCAACCUG
rnacentral:lncRNA from 1 species